rnacentral:rRNA from 1 species
UACGUAGGGGGCAAGCGUUGUCCGGAUUUAUUGGGCGUAAAGAGCGUGUAGGCGGCCAGGUAGGUCAGCUGUGAAAACUCGAGGCUCAACCUCGAGAUGUCGGCUGAAACCAUCUGGCUAGAGUCCGGAAGAGGAGAUUGGAAUUCCUGGUGUAGCGGUGAGAUGCGCAGAUAUCAGGAGGAACACCGGUGGCGAAGGCGGGUCUCUGGGCCGAUACUGACGCUGAGGAGCGAAAGCGUGGGGAGCGAACAGG